AACUUACAACUGCCUCUGUAAGCAAUUGUAGGCUACUCAGAUAAAUUUGCUUUCUUUAGCUUUUCACAAAGAUUAUUUAUUUUUCAAGACUUAGUGUGGGUGAUUUUUUAUUAUCAUGUCCUACAAUGCUGAUAAGAGAGAGGGAUCACUGCAAAACAAACAACAUCUUAAUGGAAUAAAUUUUAUGCAAAAUUUUGAUGUAAAUUAAUUUUUUGUCUUUUGCUUGGAUUGCACAGCUUGUUGUAGGUGAUUGGUGAAUUUGUUGUAUAUUCUUUUCAUACCUGUUUAAAUGGUAUUUGUUGAAGAAUGACUAGACAGAGAUCUUAGACCUGCCCAGUAAUCUUCAA
rnacentral:lncRNA from 1 species